UACGGGGGGGGGCUAGCGUUGUUCGGAAUUACUGGGCGUAAAGCGUGCGCAGGCGGCUUUGCAAGACAGAUGUGAAAUCCCCGGGCUUAACCUGGGAACUGCAUUUGUGACUGCAUGGCUGGAGUGCGGCAGAGGGGGAUGGAAUUCCGCGUGUAGCAGUGAAAUGCGUAGAUAUGCGGAGGAACACCGAUGGCGAAGGCAAUCCCCUGGGCCUGCACUGACGCUCAUGCACGAAAGCGUGGGGAGCAAACAGG
rnacentral:rRNA from 1 species